AUUUAAAUACAUCAUAUGUUAAUGUUCAAC
rfam:Clostridium sp. DMHC 10 contig_15, whole genome shotgun sequence.